AGUGAACGCUGGCGGUAUGCCUAACACAUGCAAGUCGAACGGCAGCACAGUAAGAGUUUGCCCUUACGGGUGGCGAGUGGCGGACGGGUGAGGAAUACAUCGGAAUCUACUUUUUCGUGGGUGAUAACGUAGGGAAACUUACGCUAAUACCGCAUACGACCUACGGGUGAAAGCAGGGGAUCUUCGCACCUUGCGCGAUUGAAUGAGCCGAUGUCGGAUUAGCUAGUUGGCGUGGUAAAGGCACACCAAGGCGACGAUCCGUAGCUGGUCUGAGAGGAUGAUCAGCCACACUGGAACUGAGACACGGUCCAGACUCCUACGGGAGGCAGCAGUGGGGAAUAUUGGACAAUGGGCGAAAGCCUGAUCCAGCCAUACCGCGUGGGUGAAGAAGGCCUUCGGGUUGUAAAGCCCUUUUGUUGGGAAAGAAAAGCAGCAGGUUAAUACCCCGCUGUUCUGACGGUACCCAAAGAAUAAGCACCGGCUAACUUCGUG
rnacentral:rRNA from 1 species